GCCAUAGCUCAGGGGUAGAACAUCUGCUUUGCAUGCAGAAGGUCCCAGGUUCAAUGCCCAACGACAUCUCCAGGUUGGGCCA